rnacentral:lncRNA from 1 species
AUAUUUCCCCGUUGGUCUGCAGAAAUUCCUCUUAUUCUCGUUCCAUCCAUUGUAUAAACGAGUGUUCCAUCUGAUUUUAUACAGUAUAGGUUAUAAUCAGUCUUGACUGUUAUGUGCCGUGUUACUUUAUCGUACAAAAUACGCCAACAGAUCGGGUAUCUUGAGUCGGGGAAAUGUAUAUUUUUGCAAAAUGGAGCCAUCAGUCUUCAGUGUUUUGACUCUAGAAAAUCAUCCUAUGACAAUUUGAUCUUUAACAGCAGUUAUGAUACAACAAUUAAAUUCAACAUCAACUUUCAUAUCCACUGUGAAGUUUGUAGUAUUAACGAACUGUACUGAUGUCUCCUCAGGUAUUGUAACAACUGCUGUAUCU